UGCACCUGAAAGAAGACAGCUAUGGACCACAAAGAUGUAAGCAGAGGAGUCUUUUGAGAAAUAGAUAUUCAAAUCCUUCUGAGUGAGUGAAGCUAUUUUUCUACUCCCAUGUGUUUUGAUCCAUGUCAUUUGAAGAAUUUGGAUUCUCUCCCCCAUCCCCCUCAGCGAAAGGAUAUGUGGCAUUUAGCUGUCUGCUGGGCUAAGGCAGAAUAGAAAGAAUCUACAAAUAUUCUCGGAAGAUUGAUCUCUCAAACAGUACUAGCCACUUGGAAACAGCUGAAGAACUCCAGUUCUUUUGGCCAUUUCACGUCUGUCAAAUGCUCCAGUCCACAAAUCAUCUUCGUAGAUCUUGCCUCACUGUGAUCUUGUUUGUCUUGUAUUGAGGAAGCUAGAAGUGAACACAGCACUCCAGAUAAGAAUAAUGAAGCAAUACUGCUUUCCAUCCAGUCAGCCCACAGCGUUCUCCUUCAUCGAAUUAUUAUUCCCCAGGCAAGGUUUUGCAUUUUUUAAUUUUUAUUUUUUAUGUAGAACUUAAUGAGGUUUCUGUUAAUCCAUUUCUACGGCCUGUUGAGUUCCUCCUGAAUGGCAGGUCAACCAUUUGGUCUGUCAAUUGUUUCUAAAAGUUUUGUAUUGUCUAGAAAUUUGCUAAGGUCGCACUCUGUUACAUUUCAGAA